GGUGGCGGGGUUCUGCUGCCGAAUGCCGGCGGGACUCCGGGUCAGAGGUCCCGGCGGGCCCCGCGGGAGGCAGCGAGGUGACGGUGAACCUGCGGCUCAUGACGCGGAGAGGCGCCAGGCGGCCGCGGCGCGGGCUCUGAUCGCACAAGUGGCCGCAGCCGGGCUCUAGGAGGGAGAAAGAGCGGAUCCCCUCGCCCGCCGCCUGCCCGCCAGCCGCGGUGCCGCGCGGGGUCCUAGUGCCCGCUGGGCCGAGCCUCCCCGAAUCCGGAGGCCCGGGCCUCCAUCCCACCGCGAGCGCCUGAGGAGCCCUUCCUCAGCUGAGAGCCGUUCCUACCCCCGGGGCCCCAGGGCUCACUCUGGCUGCCGGGUGAAGACUCGACUAAAGAAGGGCAUGAGUGGAAGCUGGGAGUCUAAUUAGCAGGCUCCUGCAGACCUUCAAGUGAGAAGUGAUGAUAGCGGGACUAGAGUGGUGGCAGUCAUCUGACUCCAGAUACGUUUGGAAAGUGGAACCAACAGGACCUGCUGAUGGAUUGGAUGUGACAUGUGAUGGAAAGGCAGGAGUCAAGGAGGACUCCUGGAAACUCACACUGCUGGAGGGAGUAAAGAUGGGCGAAACCACUUUGGAAAACUGUUUGGUCAUAUCUACCAAAGAAUUUGGUCCAUCACUAAGGCAGGGGAGUCCAAGAACCUGGGAGGUGUUUCGGGAGGGACCCGCCCCCGCCUCCCACCCGCAG